UACAGAGGGUGCAAGCGUUAAUCGGAAUUACUGGGCGUAAAGCGCGUGUAGGUGGUUAGUUAAGUUGGAUGUGAAAUCCCCGGGCUCAACCUGGGAACUGCAUUCAAAACUGACUGACUAGAGUAUGGUAGAGGGUGGUGGAAUUUCCUGUGUAGCGGUGAAAUGCGUAGAUAUAGGAAGGAACACCAGUGGCGAAGGCGACCACCUGGACUGAUACUGACACUGAGGUGCGAAAGCGUGGGGAGCAAACAGG
rnacentral:rRNA from 1 species